GAUGAACGCUGGCGGCGUGCCUAAUAUAUGCAAGUCGAGCGAACGGACGAGAAGCUUGCUUCUCUGAUGUUAGCGGCGGACGGGUGAGUAACACGUGGAUAACCUACCUAUAAGACUGGGAUAACUUCGGGAAACCGGAGCUAAUACCGGAUAAUAUUUUGAACCGCAUGGUUCAAAAGUGAAAGACGGUCUUGCUGUCACUUAUAGAUGGAUCCGCGCUGCAUUAGCUAGUUGGUAAGGUAACGGCUUACCAAGGCAACGAUGCAUAGCCGACCUGAGAGGGUGAUCGGCCACACUGGAACUGAGACACGGUCCAGACUCCUACGGGAGGCAGCAGUAGGGAAUCUUCCGCAAUGGGCGAAAGCCUGACGGAGCAACGCCGCGUGAGUGAUGAAGGUCUUCGGAUCGUAAAACUCUGUUAUUAGGGAAGAACAUAUGUGUAAGUAACUGUGCACGUCUUGACGGUACCUAAUCAGAAAGCCACGGCUAACUACGUG
rnacentral:rRNA from 1 species